AAUAACUCUGAAAACUCUAUAAAAACUCUAACCAAAUAAAUUAUAACUCUUAAACUCAUCAAAAAAUUAAUAAGAGGACACCAAAAUUACCAACUACUCAAAACUCAACCUUCUUGAUUCAACUCGAUCAAUCACACAACUGAAACUCUAAAACAUAAUGCAUGGCUUCAAAAUAGCACCCAAAAUGACUUGCUUAUGAUAAAAUUAUGAAACUCCAGUUUUAAAGAUCAUUAAACUCUCUUUUCAAUGCAACCAACA
rnacentral:lncRNA from 1 species